AACUCCAACCGAUUUUCCUUCCCAGGUUCGGUGGGACAAUUGACUUGGUCCCAGUCUUCUGCCCACAGCUGGAGAUGACAGAGGUUCAGGGACCCCUCCUUACCUGGAGAAAACCCAGGCCGCCCGGAGACCUCUCACCACGCCAAGGUGUCGGAAGCUAAGAAAACUACGAAAAUAACAGGGGCGACACUGGAGGACUUUUCCCUUGUAAAUAUUAGAACAUCUGAAACAGCGCAAGGACAGAACACCUGACCUCCAAACCCGGGAAAACACCAGAGUAUAUAUACCAGCGUGAUAAGAGACCCUCGCGAGUGCCUACUGAGCAGUGAGGACGUCCACAACAAGCCUCUGAGACCGGGCUGUGAUCGGCAGCCCGGUUCCCCGGGUGCACAGCGGAGGAACCCGAGGAGCCGGGAUGCGAAGAAGAGAAGAGACGCAGAGAUAGACACAAGGAAACCACCACGUGAGGAUGGAGGCAGACUUGGAGUGAUGCGUCCACUAGCGAAGGGACACAAAGAACUGCCUGCCGUGAACUGAGGAGAGAGGCGUGGAACAGAUUCUCCCUCAGAGCCUCCAAUAAGAACCAAUGCUAAUGCCACCU